rnacentral:rRNA from 1 species
GAUGAACGCUGGCGGCGUGCCUAAUACAUGCAAGUCGAGCGAACAGACGAGGAGCUUGCUCCUCUGACGUUAGCGGCGGACGGGUGAGUAACACGUGGAUAACCUACCUAUAAGACUGGGAUAACUUCGGGAAACCGGAGCUAAUACCGGAUAAUAUAUUGAACCGCAUGGUUCACUAGUGAAAGACGGUUUUUCUUUCACUUAUAGAUGGAUCCGCGCCGCAUUAGCUAGUUGGUAAGGUAACGGAUUACCAAGGCAGCGAUGGGUAGCCCACCUGAGAGGGAGGAUCGCCACACGGGAUGUGAGGCAGGGUAGAGACUCCGAGGCGGGGAAACAGUAGGGAAUCCUCCGGAAUGCAGGAAAGCGUGACGGAGCAAAGUGGGGGAAGGGAUGAAGGUGUUAGGAUCGGAAAACGCUGAUAGUCGGAAGGAACAAAUGUGUAUGUACCGAUGCACGUCUUGACGGUACCUGGUCAGAAAGCCCCGGCUAACUACGUG